UUGACCUCGGAUCAGGAAGGAGUUACCCGCUGAACAUAAG
rnacentral:rRNA from 1 species